CUUUUCCACUUCAGAGGGCUGGAUUGCAAGGGACAGAAGCCUCUGGGGGAAUACAAAUGUCAGCUAAAGCCAGGAAGUAGAGGACGUGACUCAAGGAACAGGCCUCGAGAACUAUUUUAAUUUUUGGAAGGACAACAAGAGUUUCAAGAGUUUCAGGAAUACAAUGUCAAUAAGAAGACCCUAGGCUGCUGGACCAAAUGGAGUAGGAGAGGAAUAGAACAUGAAGUGUAACCCGAUCUGGAAUAACAGGCUACACACAUUCUAUGGGUCUCUUACUGAGAACCCUGGUUGGGGGGGGGGGGGGGAAGGAGGGUGGGUGGACGGACAGGAAGGUCAGAGAUGGGGCUAACUCGGCUUAGCAGCUUUAAUCAAAUGCCCUUUAGCUUCUUCUUUGAUUUUACCCAUGAAUUAUGAUGCAUGAGACUCAUUUCUCCUGGCCCUGGUCAAAUUUCAGUCAUAAAACUUGUUUUGUUUUUGAAAGGACUGAGACAAAUUUUUAUGCAGAACAGCACGUCAAAGUAAAGCUAACGAAGCCGAUGGGAAGUUUGACCUCAGCUGAGCAAAACAGCCAGACGGUUCAGAGAUACAAUGUUGCAGAUCAAGAGUCAAACAAUCUCGGGUUAUCUCACUCCUUUUAACAGCCAUUUUCUUUCGACCUUUGUGUCUGACCCAACAUCCUGUGAGUGCGGGGUGGGGGUUGGGGUUGGGGGUGGGGUGGGAAACUCUUGGGAAGUAUUUCUAACUUUAACUGCUAACCCCCAAAGCUAAGAAUGUUAUAAGAUGGUAUCUGAAUCCUAUAGAAACAAUCUCCUUGCUUAGUGUCAGGACACCUGCCGGAUGCUCCCGCCAACAUGCCUGCUACAUGUGUUGCUUUAUGAAGCUCUUUGUUCUGUGGCUAUGACAGUUCAUGCUUCUUUUCCCGUGGUGGGAGUGUAUGUGAGGGAACAGGUCAUUCCAGGUAACUUGGACCCGUGUUCCCAGCCCAUGCUCACUCCUCUUUAGCUCAGAAUAAACGGUUUCCUUAUAUCCUUUAAAGCA
rnacentral:lncRNA from 1 species